CGAGUGCUUACUUUUGCUUCUUAACUUGUUGGUUGCCGCCAUAUCUUUACAUUGAAGAGUUUUAACAUCACCCUCUAAAGUAACUACUCCUAUUAUCCCCAUUUUCAAAAUGAGAAAACUGAGCUAUAAGGUCUAAUUUGCAUAAGAUCAUAGGGCAGGCAAGUGAUGAAGCCAAGGUUCAGUCCAGGUAGUCUGGCCUCUGAGGUGGUAUUGGACCCCACUGCAGGCUUGUCCUCCUCCGUUCCCACCCUCUUAGUGAAGGAAGGGGAGGUACCAAGCGAACUGUCAUCCAGACGUGGCAUCAGAGGAUUGGUUCUCAGCCUGCUCCAGCCCUUCCUUUGUGUUCUCCCUUAGUCUUCCUCAGCUUCAGUCCCCCACCAGUAAAAUCAGAGCAUUGUUGUUAAAUCAGAGGCAGUAGGUCUUAGAAUGAGAAUUUGGAACCAUGGUCGUGCUGGAAGACGGCAUUAUAAUUCUACUUCUGAUUUUUAUAACCCCAAAACAAGAUGUGAACAAAUUGAAUCAGUAUUUAAUAUUGAGGCCGAUCUCCCCGCUGCCCUUGCCACAGAAGUGGUAUAAAUCCUGGAAGAUAUGUUUGGCCACAAAUGCAUUUGAGAAGAUACUUUCUGAAAGAAGCUUGUACUAUGGGGAGAACAGUUUGAAAAUAGACGUUUGGAAGUGUUUCCGUCAUCAUGUGAGUUCAGCGCUAAAAACUGCCUUUGGCCAUCAUCUAUGAAAACAUUCAGCCCUACAUACUUUAAAUCUGGAAAAGGAAUUUUCUAACCAGUUAGAAACUGGUCCAAAGGAAGAGUUUUAGCAGGUUUUGAAUUCAUUAGUUAAGAAAUAUGAAAUUGCCACACAUUUUUGGUAAUGAAUAUGAAGGGAUGUGGGAAUUCACCUAUUGAUUUUAAAAACCAAUCUGGGUUUGAUGGGUUAAUGUGAUUUAAAGAAUAUGUUAUAUAAUAAACUCAGCCAUCAAUCAGUUUCUUCUGAAUAUAUGGGGUAAUGAGCCUUCAACAGUAGUGGGUCUUUAUCUUUGGGCCUGUGUAUGUUACCUUAUAUGGAAAAGGUAGAUAUGAUUUAGGAUUUUCUGCAGAUAUGAUUAAGGAUUUUGAGAUACAGCAGUUAUCCUUGUGUGCCCUAAAGGCAACCACUAGUGUCUUAGAACAUGAUUAGACACAGACUGAAAAGGCAAAGGCAAUGGAGGCACAGAUUGGAGUAAUGUGGCCACAAGCCAAGGAGAGCUGGCAGCCACCAGAUGCUGUAAGAGGUGGGUACAGAUUUCCCCUUAGAGGCUCUAAAGUAAGCAUGGCCCUAUUUUUUCUCUCAAUGAGAGAAAAAAAAAUGGAUUUUCAAAUGCUAUCAAGUUUGUGGUAAUUUGUUACAGCAACCAUAGGAGACUAAUACAUACACCUAAGUAACUUUGUGAAGCUAUUAUUCAUUUAUUAAAACUAAGUGUUAAUUUGAAAUUAGAGAUACAUAUUUGUUUUUUCUUUACACAAUAUUAAGCUGCAUCUUAAAGAACAAUGAGGCAUCAUUGAACAACAUCUCUCUAAAGACCAAAUAUAUUGGUUUUAUGUGGUAAGUACAAAGGAUUUUUAGCCUCACUAAUAAAUAGAUUUACAUAUAAACUCUAUUUUCUUUUUCCUUGUUAGAAGGCAUAUAUACUGUGUAUAUUUUAUGAAUAUAUUGGUAUAAUGGGAAGAGUACAAUUUAUAAGUAAGCUUGUUGGGGUGCCCUAGGAAACAAAUGUGAAGAAUAUGUUGUACGAGCUUAUUGUCAAGAUGAAAUUAAAUAAAUAUAAAACUCUUGGAACAUGGCAGGUGUCCAUUCUGUGUUUAUUACAGGGAUAAAUGGAUGAAGGGAUGGAUGGGUGGGUAGGUGAAUGGGUGAUAAGGAAAUGGAGGGCUUUAGGUUGAGCAGGUGGAUAGAGGGGUGGGUAGUGAAGACACAGAGAAGCACAAGUUAAGCAGGUGGGUGGAUGGAUGGGGGAUGAAUAAAUGGAGGCGCUUUGGUUAACCAGGGGCCCAGGGAUGUGUGGCUGAUAGUGGAGUUCAGCUGUGGGUCAGGUGUUCUGGAUUCACACAUUGUGCUCUCUCUUGUGUCCCCAUUAAAUGAAGAAAUAUGCUUAUUAAACUUGUCUGUUUCCCUACUUCCUGAUGACUAGUUCUAUUGGUGGCACAUAGAGCUUACUUAUCUCUUCAGUGUCAGGGAGGGUGUGGGGGGAGGAGGUACAGUAGAAGAUCCCUGUGCUGUGUGUGACUGUGUU
rnacentral:lncRNA from 1 species